CGCCCCCUGGGUCUGACCCGGGUUGUCUCGCGCUCGCGGACCUGGCAGGAUGUGCUUCAACAGGGGCACGUGGAAAGGUUUAGGUGGCCACCUUCCCUGCGUAAGACUGACUGGUAGCCGGCAGGAUGGGGAUUCAAACAUCACUAUUUCUUUGCGAGUUAACUCGUAUUUUCUCUCGACGAUAUUUUUAAACUCACAUUUUAUCCGAAAGGAAGUGUUGAUUGGACAAAAGUUCAACACUUUUGAAAUCUCCCGGGUGUUGUAGGAAGACAAAAUGGAGCUUGAGAUCAAAGCGAUCGAAUACAGGAGACGGCCCUAGCAAUGUUUAUCUGGUCAUGUUUCCACAAGAUUUGUACAAAAUGUUUUAAGCACCACUGGUUAAGAUCUUUACACUUAAACUCUUCAUUUAUGGUGAUGCUGCAGUGACCACAAACUACGUGAAAGGCUAGAAGAUCAGCAUCAGAGCAAGCACUUUUGGCCUCAGAAAUGGAAGCUACCUUCUGAGUACAGAACGGCUUACCUCUGGCCUGCAAUCUGGAAGAAAAGUAAAGCUGUUUAACACCUAAUACCUUCUUAGAAGUCACUGUUAACAGCACUUUAUAAACUGAAGCCUACUAUGUCCAGCAAAUAACUUAAGGUAAAUUACUGCCAGAAGUACUAGAACCACAGAGCAUCACAAUAAUGACAUUCUCUUUCUCUACUUGAACAUACCCUGGGUUGAACUUCUUUCAGCAUUGCACUAGCAUCUUCAUCAUAAUCCAGUUUACAAGCAAGGGCAAGAUCAUGUGCUGCUUCCUCCCAAUGACCCAGAAGUCUGAAACAGAUUAAAUUCAUUUUAGGGGCCUUUUAUACAUAUCAACUAAUGUGGUGGUGUCUUUCUUUCUUUUUUUAAGACGACUUUAUUUAUUCAUGAGAGACACACACACAGAGAGAGGCAGAGACACAGGCAGAGGGAGAAGCAGACUCCAUGCAGGGAGCCCGGUGUGGGACUCGGCCACGGGACUCCAGGAUCAUGCCCUGAACCAAGGGCAGAUGCUAAACCACUGAGCCACCCAGGGAUCCCCAAAACAUAAAACUUUUAAAAAAAUUAUAUAGAGCUACAAUUGUCAACAAUUUCAACUCCUUAAAAACAGGAUUAACAUAAUAUACACUUAGCAUGCUAUAAGGCAGAAAACAAUACAUGUGUGCACAUUUUAUUAAAAGAAAGACGAUAAAUCAGAAACUGAAGGCUGGUGGGAUAAGGUAAGAAUGGACUAGAGGGGACCACAAUGGAAAUGAGACUUCCCUGGUACACCUGUCAACUCAGUUUUGACUCCUUAAAUAUGCAAAUAUUUUAUAUAUGUGAAGAAAAUUAACCAGAAAAGACUGGAAUAAAAAAAGGUUGUUUACCACACAGAGCAUAAACCAUACAGGAAAAAAAGGAACAUACACAUACAUGCAUUUAUUUAUGGUGUAUGUAUGUAUGUAUUUAUUUAGUGUGUGUGCAGGUAGGAAAACAGGGGGAAGGGAAGAGGGAGAAGAAGAAUCUGAAGCAGACUCUCUCCCACGACGCGAAGAUCACGACUGAACCGAAAUCACCCAAGCUCUCCAAAAGUCAGGUAAUUUUUAAAACAGUAUUUUUGGGACGCCUGGGUGGCUCAGCGCUUGAGCAUCUGCCUUCAGCUCAGGUCAUGGCAUGAUCCCAGGGUCCGGGGAUAGAGUCCCGCAUCUGGCUCCCUGUCAGGAGCCUGCUUCUCUCAUGAAAAAAUAAAUUAAAAAUUUUAAAAAACAGCAACAAUAUUUUGACUGUGUAUCUUAAGUGGAAUAUACUCUAAGGAUAAAAGCUGCAACAUACAAAACACAACAUAUAAAACUUUACUUAGAAUAUUAUUUCAAAAUAGGAUUAUAAUACUUAGAAUAUUAUUUCAAAAUAGGAUUAUAAAACAAUCUUAUGUUAUCAUACAGUAACACAAGUAAAUAUAUUAUGAGUAAAGAUUUUGAGUCUAGAAUAGUGUUAAAAAAUGCAAAAUAGCGGCACCCUGGGCAGCUCAGCGGUUUAGCACCACCUUCAGCCCGGGGCAUGAUUCUGGAGACAGAGGAUCAAGUCCCACGUCGAGCUCUCUAUAUGGAGCCUGCUUCUCACUCUGUGUCUCUGACUCUGUGUUUCCCAUGAAUAAAUAAAUAAAAUCUUAAAAAAAAAAAAGCAAAAUAAAAGGAAAAAUAUUUAAUAUUGAAUUUUAAUUGGAAAACCCCAAAUUUCCACUUUUUCCCUUAAAAUCAUUGUUUAAAAGAUGUUUUUUCUAGGGCAUCUGGGUGGCUCAGUUGGGGAAGUGUCUGCUUUUGGCUCAGGUCCUAAUCCCAAGAUCUUGAUAUUGGGCCAGAGUCCAGUUCCCUGCCCAGUAGGGAGUCUGCUUUUCCCUCUCCCUCUGCUCAUACCCAUUAGCACGCUCUCUCACAAAUAAAUAAAAUGUGUUUUUUCUAACUCGGUUCACUGUAAUGACAUAAGUAAUGGUAUCCCGGAGGAACGAACACACCUAGGGCUAAACUUUAUUUUCUAUAAAUAUAAUCCUCACAAAAUGAACCUGGUUUCUUAGAGAAAUGGUUAAUUCUGAAUCUGGGAGAAGCAAAACACAAGAUGAGCUCAUCUACCUUGUACUGGAAGGCAAAGAAAUAAAAAAAUUAAAGGAAAGAAGGAAAGGGGGGCAGGCAAAGAAAAUGCAAUCAAAGAUAACCACAGUCUCUGGAUGAUCAAUAGCAAUGCAUAAGCUUUCUGACACCCAGAGCAUUAAUACAUCUUAUCCUAACCUUUUUCCUCUACCUUUGACAUGCGUCUUCAUAAUCAUUAGAGCUCCUUUUUUGAGUAACUUAAUACAGCUGUCCCAAGCAUAUCCAUCUCAUUUCCAUCCACACUUGAAGGGCAGUUCCUUUCCAAUCCAUGUAACAUGUAAAUGUCACUGGAAAUCUCAUCCUCAAGCCACCAAUACUCACUUGUAUAACAUUUUCAUUUCCAGAAAUAAUGUCUAAUCUAGGAUAAAUUCACCUCUUUAUUGUCUUCUUUUCCUGUGUUUUCAGGUGAUCUACCUAACAGCAACUAAAGUAGUUUAAGACUAAGGAAUUUGGGGAUCCCUGGGUGGUGCAGUGGUUUAGCGCCUGCCUUUGGCCCAGGGCGCGAUCCUGGAGACCCGGGAUCGAAUCCCACAUCAGGCUCCCGGUGCAUGGAGCCUGCUUCUCCCUCUGCCUGUGUCUCUGCCUCUCUCUCUCUCUGUGUGACUAUCAUAAAUAAAUAAAUAAAUAAACAAACAAACAGACCGACAGACUAAGGAAUUUCUUCUUCUAGAACAUAUUCUUUAAUGUUAGGUUAC